rnacentral:lncRNA from 1 species
CUUUCCUAUUUAUUCUCUAUGUGGCCGUUCUAUAUGCUGAAGGCUUUAGUCUGGAAAAGGAGGAUUACUUGCAACAAAGUCAUUGACUCAUGUGUGAGGAAUGACUACCAAUUCUGAGUUCAUUUUCUUUACAAAUGUUUUAAUCGGGCAUCUACUGGGUUCUGUGUGCAUGUCAGGCAAUGAUCGCACACAUUGAUUAGUCUGUCUCCAAUGACACUGGGAGGAAGCAUCAGUUCCAUUUUGCAAAAGAUCAAACAGGUUUAAUGAGACGGUGGGUAAGUGGUUUUGGCCAGCAAAUAACUGUCAGAGCUGGGAUUUGAAUCCACGUUACUUGAUUCCAAACCCACUGCUUUUUGUACUACACCACGUCAGCCUCUUGGCUCCCUGAGGAUUACAGCAAAUUGUAGAGCGUGGUGAAGGCAGGGUAGGUAAACCCCAGGUUCUCUGAGGGAAGACGUGCGCCGGGGGGUGGGAGGCCUUCUUUCAGACCUGGAUUCUGGGGAAGAAUCAUGGCUGCCCACAGGCUGAAGGGAACAGGGGUGGGCUCUGGAAUCAGGGGUUCCGGUUCACCUGACAGUUCCGCUACUUACUAGAUGAGACUUUGGCUAACUCCCUCUGCUCUCUCACACUCAGUUUCCUCGUUUCUUAAAUGGGGACGACAGUCUAAAUUUCACAGGUGGUUCUGAGGGUUGAGGAAGAUCCUGUAGGUGAAGUGUCUGGAGAAACGCCUGCAUUCAGGGAACGCCUCCCGCAGAUGUGUGUUCCCUUCCGUCGAACCAGGGCCAUCCGCUCUUCCCACAAACAUUAUUAAGGGACUUUUCUGGGUCAGAUCCAGUGGCUGGUGGCAUGGAAGUGGCCUACUUGAAAGCACCUUUCCAAUGACCCCAUUUUGGAAUGCUAAGUAUGGAACCCUGGAGAGGGAGGCAUGAAUAGCUGAGGCAAGUUUUCUCUCUGCUUUGAGUCAAAAUCCUGUCUUUUCCCAGGCUUGUCUCUCCAUGCCUUCUCUUAUAAUUACAAUGGUAAAACCAAGUGGGUGAGGAUCAGGGUGUGGGUUUGGGGCAACGGUUCCAGUAGGCUGCUCAGUCAAGCUUGUAGUCUAGAAGGCCAAGUGAAUUCUGGUAGCUCAAGUUUAGUUCAGCUCUUCUGACAGAUAGGAUUAAUUAGUUAGGUUAGAAUAAAACUUUGGAUUUAAGAUCA